AUAGUGAUUCGACGAAUUUCGUUGAUGCGAUAAUCGAUUCAAAUCAAACACUACAUUCAGUCACCCGAAACGUAGUCAUUCAGAUCAAGUAGUCU
ensembl:ncRNA C23H4.9 ncRNA